rnacentral:rRNA from 1 species
GCCCGCCUACGGGGGGCAGCAGGGGGGGAUAUUGCACAAUGGGGGGAACCCUGAUGCAGCGACGCCGCGUGGGUGAAGGAGCGUUUCGGCGCGUAAAGCCCUCUCGGCAGGGAAGAAGAUGACGGUACCUGGCCAAGAAGCCCCGGCUAACUACGUGCCAGCAGCCGCGGUAAUACGUAGGGGGCAAGCGUUAUCCGGAUUUACUGGGUGUAAAGGGGGCGCAGACGGCAAUGCAAGC